rnacentral:rRNA from 1 species
CCUACGGGAGGCAGCAGUGAGGAAUAUUGGUCAAUGGACGAGAGUCUGAACCAGCCAAGUAGCGUGAAGGAUGACUGCCCUAUGGGUUGUAAACUUCUUUUAUAUGGGAAUAAAAUGUUCCACGUGUGGGAUUUUGUAUGUACCAUAUGAAUAAGGAUCGGCUAACUCCGUGCCAGCAGCCGCGGUAAUACGGAGGAUCCGAGCGUUAUCCGGAUUUAUUGGGUUUAAAGGGAGCGUAGGUGGAUUGUUAAGUCAGUUGUGAAAGUUUGCGGCUCAACCGUAAAAUUGCAGUUGAAACUGGCAGUCUUGAGUACAGUAGAGGUGGGCGGAAUUCGUGGUGUAGCGGUGAAAUGCUUAGAUAUCACGAAGAACUCAGAUUGCGAAGGCAGUUCACUGGACUGCAACUGACACUGAGGCUCGAAAGUGUGGGUAUCAAACAGGAUUAGAUACCCCAGUAGUC